rnacentral:rRNA from 1 species
GACGAACGCUGGCGGCGUGCUUAACACAUGCAAGUCGAGCGGAGCGGCGAACGGGUGAGUAACGCGUGAGUAACUGCCCCCCUCUCUGGGAUAAAAGUUGGAAACGGGUGCUAAUACCGGAUAGUGGGGGAUGACUCGCGUCCUAUCCGCUUGUUGGUGGGGUAGUGGCCUACCAAGGCGACGACGGGUAGCCGGCCUGAGAGGGCGACCGGCCACAUUGGGCGGAGAUACGGCCCAAACGCCUACGGGAGGCAGCAGGGGGGAAUAUUGCACAAUGGGGGAAACCCUGAUGCAGAAAUCCGCGUGCGGGAUGACGGCCUUCGGGUUGUAAACCGCUUGCAGCCAUGACGCGGUAGUGGCAGAAGAAGCACCGGCUAACUACGUGCCAGCAGCCGCGGUAAUUC